CCUACGGGUGACAGCAGUGAGGAAUAUUGGUCAAUGGACGCGAGUCUGAACCAGCCAAGUAGCGUGAAGGAUGACUGCCCUAUGGGUUGUAAACUUCUUUUAUAUGGGAAUAAAAUGUUCCACGUGUGGGAUUUUGUAUGUACCAUAUGAAUAAGGAUCGGCUAACUCCGUGCCAGCAGCCGCGGUAAUACGGAGGAUCCGAGCGUUAUCCGGAUUUAUUGGGUUUAAAGGGAGCGUAGGUGGAUUGUUAAGUCAGUUGUGAAAGUUUGCGGCUCAACCGUAAAAUUGCAGUUGACACUGGCAGUCUUGAGUACAGUAGAGGUGGGCGGAAUUCGUGGUGUAGCGGUGAAAUGCUUAGAUAUCACGAAGAACUCCGAUUGCGAAGGCAGUUCACUGGACUGCAACUGACACUGAGGCUCGAAAGUGUGGGUAUCAAACAGGAUUAGAUACCCUUGUAGUC
rnacentral:rRNA from 1 species